CAAGCCUGAUCCAGCAAUGCCGCGUGCAGGACGAAGGCCCUCGGGUUGUAAACUGCUUUUGUACAGAACGAAAAGAGCUGGGUUAAUACCCUGGUUUUAUGACGGUACUGUAAGAAUAAGCACCGGCUAACUACGUGCCAGCAGCCGCGGUAAUACGUAGGGUGCGAGCGUUAAUCGGAAUUACUUGGGCGUAAAGCGUGCGCAGGCGGCGAUGCAAGACCCGAUGUGAAAUCCCUGGGCUCAACCUGGGAACUGCAUUAGUGACUGCAUUGCUGGAGUGCGGCAGAGGGGGAUGGAAUUCCGCGUGUAGCAGUGAAAUGCGUAGAUAUGCGGAGC
rnacentral:rRNA from 1 species